rnacentral:rRNA from 1 species
GACGUAGGGGGCGAGCGUUGUCCGGAUUUAUUGGGCGUAAAGAGCGUGUAGGCGGCCAGAUAGGUCCGUUGUGAAAACUGGAGGCUUAACCUCCAGCUGUCGAUGGAAACCAUCUGGCUAGAGUCCGGAAGAGGAGAGUGGAAUUCCUGGUGUAGCGGUGAAAUGCGCAGAUAUCAGGAAGAACACCGAUGGCGAAGGCAGGUCUCUGGGCCGUAACUGACGCUGAGGAGCGAAAGCGUGGGGAGCGAACAGG